GACGAACGCUGGCGGCGUGCUUAACACAUGCAAGUCGAACGAAGUGGCGAACGGGUGAGUAAUACGUGAGUACCCUGCCCUCCUUUUUGGGAUAAGCCUUGGACACGGGGUCUAAUACCGAAUAAAGGGGGAUGGGCUCGCGGCCUAUCAGCUUGUUGGUUGGGUGAUUGCCUACCAAGGCGGUGACGGCUAGCCGGCCUGCGAGGGUGAACGGAGACAUAGGGCCUGCGAAUCGGCCCAGAGUACGAAGUGGGGCAGCAGUUGGGGAGAUUGCACGAAGGGCGAAAGCCUGAUGCAGCGACGCCGCGUGGGGGAUGAAGGUUUUCAGGUUGUAAACCUAUGUCGCUAUCGAAGGGGUAGUUGGAGAGGAAGCGCCGGCUAACUACGUGCCAGCAGCCGCGGUAAUAC
rnacentral:rRNA from 1 species